GAUGAACGCUGGCGGCGUGCCUAAUACAUGCAAGUCGAGCGAACAGACGAGGAGCUUGCUCCUCUGACGUUAGCGGCGGACGGGUGAGUAACACGUGGAUAACCUACCUAUAAGACUGGGAUAACUUCGGGAAACCGGAGCUAAUACCGGAUAAUAUAUUGAACCGCAUGGUUCAAUAGUGAAAGACGGCUUUGCUGUCACUUAUAGAUGGAUCCGCGCCGCAUUAGCUAGUUGGUAAGGUAACGGCUUACCAAGGCAACGAUGCGUAGCCGACCUGAGAGGGUGAUCGGCCACACUGGAACUGAGACACGGUCCAGACUCCUACGGGGGGCAGCAGUAGGGAAUCGUCCGCAAUGGGCGAAAGCCUGACGGAGCAACGCCGCGUGAGUGAUGAAGGUCUUCGGAUCGUAAAACUCUGUUAUUAGGGAAGAACAAAUGUGUAAGUAACUAUGCACGUCUUGACGGUACCUAAUCAGAAAGCCACGGCUAACUACGUG
rnacentral:rRNA from 1 species